GGCUGGAUAAUAUUGGAUUGGGUAAACUUCUUCCGCAUUCGUAAUGCGGAGGUCGCGGGUUCGAUCCCUGCUUCAGGCA
rnacentral:tRNA from 1 species